UACGAAGGGAGCUAGCGUUGUUCGGAAUCACUGGGCGUAAAGCGCACGUAGGCGGAUGUGUCAGUCAGGGGUGAAAUCCCGGAGCUCAACUUCGGAACUGCCUUUGAUACAGCACGUCUUGAGUCCGAGAGAGGUGAGUGGAACUGCGAGUGUAGAGGUGAAAUUCGUAGAUAUUCGCAAGAACACCAGUGGCGAAGGCGGCUCACUGGCCCGGUACUGACGCUGAGGUGCGAAAGCGUGGGGAGCAAACAGG
rnacentral:rRNA from 1 species